UACCAUGGGUAAGCCACUGAGACUUGGGGC
rnacentral:piRNA from 1 species